rnacentral:rRNA from 1 species
GACGAACGCUGGCGGCGUGCUUAACACAUGCAAGUCGAACGGAAAGGCCCCUUCGGGGGUACUCGCGUGGCGAACGGGUGAGUAACACGUGAGUAACCUGCCCUUGACUUCGGGAUAACUUCAGGAAACUGGGGCUAAUACCUGAUAGGAAUCCUUGCUGCCUGGUGGGGGUUGGAAAGCUUCGGCGGUUUUGGAUGGACUCGCGGCUUAUCUGCUUGUUGGUGGGGUAGUGGCUUACCAAGGCUUUGACGGGUAGCCGGCCUGGGAGGGCGAACGGCCACAUUGGGACUGAGAUACGGCCCAGACUCCUACGGGAGGCAGCAGGGGGGAAUAUUGCACAAUGGGCGGGAGCCGGAUGCAGCAACGCCGCGGGCGGGAUGACGGCCUUCGGGUUGUAAACCGCUUUCAGCAGGGGCGAAGCUUGUGGUGACGGUACCUGCAGAAGAAGCACCGGCUAACUACGUG